CAAAAGUUGUAAAAACUUUCAGCGACGGAUGUCUUGGUUCCCCCAACGAUGAAGAAACGC
rnacentral:rRNA from 1 species